CCUCUCCAAGGCUACAGUGAGCUAGAAGCUCUUCCCCACGCAGAAUGCCUGCUUUCCCUAGUGUUCGACUUCCAUUGUCUAAUUCCUUCACCCUGGCUGGGGAAAGGGAAGGCUGCAAGUCCUUCCGUUCAGAGGAACUCCAGCUGAAUGCAGCUUAGCUGCUGGUGGUAUUUCUUGGCCAGCUGCUGUGGUCUCAGGGAUCUGCCUAUGAGCCUGUGGUUUCUGAGCUGCCUGUGAGUCUGAGGUCUCCGGAAUCUGAGAGUCUUCGGGAUCAGUCUACGAUCUCAUUUUGCCUGCAAGUCUACGGAUUCGAGAUCGACCUGCAGGUCUGAGAUCUCCGGGACCUGCCAGUGAUCUCUAGACUCUUUCCGAACGUCAGAGGUCUGAAAGGACUCUGUCUGCGGCUUUGGGAUCAGUUUAAGGCCUCUCGGAUGUUGGAGCCUGUGAGCUAGUGGAUCAUUUGCGGUCAGGAGCGCUGUCUGCUGUCUGCUUUUCCUGCCCUUUCUCCCUGGAGGCGAACCCUUUUGCCCGCGAUGGCAGCCACCCUGCUCAUGGCUGGGUCCCAGGCACCUGUGACAUUUGAAGAUAUGGCCAUGUACCUCACCCGAGAAGAAUGGAGACCUCUGGACCCUACACAAAGGGACCUAUACAGGGAUGUUAUGCAGGAGAAUUAUGGAAAUGUUGUCUCAUUAGAUUUUGAGAUCAGGAGUGAGAACGAGGUGAAUCCAAAGCAAGAGAUUAGUGAAGAUGUAGAAUUUGGGACCACAUCUGAAAGACCUGUUAGGAAUGCUGAGGAAAAUCCUGAAAGUGAAGAGGCCUUUGAAAGUGGGGAUAGGUCAGAAAGACAGUGGGGAGAUUUAACAGCAGAAGAGUGGGUAAGCUAUCCUCUCCAGCAAGUCACUGAUCUGCUUGCCCAGAAAGAAGUCCACACAGGCAUCCGAUAUCAUAUAUGCUCUCAUUGUGGAAAGGCCUUCAGUCAGAUCUCAGACCUUAAUCGACAUCAGAAAACCCACACUGGAGAUAGACCCUAUAAGUGUUAUGAAUGUGGAAAGGGCUUCAGUCGUAGCUCACACCUUAUUCAGCAUCAGAGAACACAUACUGGAGAGAGACCCUAUGACUGUAAUGAGUGUGGGAAAAGUUUUGGAAGAAGCUCUCACCUCAUUCAGCAUCAGACAAUCCACACUGGAGAGAAGCCUCACAAAUGUAAUGAGUGUGGGAAAAGUUUCUGCCGGCUCUCUCACCUCAUCCAGCACCAAAGGACACACAGUGGGGAGAAACCCUAUGAGUGCGAGGAGUGUGGGAAAAGUUUCAGCCGGAGCUCUCACCUAGCUCAGCACCAAAGGACCCACACAGGUGAGAAGCCUUAUGAGUGUAACGAAUGUGGGCGAGGCUUCAGUGAGAGAUCUGAUCUCAUCAAACACUAUCGAGUCCACACAGGAGAGAGGCCCUACAAGUGUGAUGAGUGUGGGAAGAAUUUUAGUCAGAACUCUGACCUUGUGCGCCAUCGCAGAGCCCAUACGGGAGAAAAACCAUACCACUGUAAUGAAUGUGGGGAGAAUUUCAGCCGCAUCUCACAUUUGGUUCAGCACCAGAGAACCCACACUGGAGAGAAGCCAUAUGAAUGCAAUGCUUGUGGGAAAAGCUUCAGCCGGAGCUCUCAUCUCAUCACGCACCAGAAAAUUCACACUGGAGAAAAGCCCUACGAGUGUAACGAAUGUUGGCGAAGCUUUGGUGAAAGGUCAGAUCUAAUUAAACACCAGAGAACCCACACAGGAGAGAAGCCCUACGAGUGUGUGCAGUGUGGAAAAGGUUUUACCCAGAGCUCCAACCUCAUCACACAUCAAAGAGUUCAUACGGGAGAGAAGCCUUAUGAAUGUACCGAAUGCGAAAAGAGUUUCAGCCGGAGCUCAGCUCUUAUUAAACAUAAGCGAGUUCAUACUGACUAAGUCCUGUAAUUAUGAUUGAGAAAUGAUUCAUUUGAAGGUACAAUUUUAUUUGCUAUCAGUGAGCUCCCUCAUGACUGAGCUUCUUUUACUGUACUGACUUUCCUAGUUGUGGGCCACAAUUUAAAACAUCAAAGAAGACAAGCCAUUUGAAAUUCUGACCCACGGCUUUGAGAACUUUAUCCCUUCCUCCAAGAUAGUGAUUUUUCUUCACUAUAUAUUAAAGGAUUACUUCCGCAAAAUCAGCCCCACAAGUAACUGGAAAUCUGAAGACCAGGGAACAAAUGCUGGUAAAUGCCCAGGGCUGGAAAUGGAGUAAAUCUUUAAAAGUUUUUUCUCCCAUCCUUGGCCCAAAGAACUGUGCUGGGGGACUGUAAUAGGCUAGUUACAGCUGCUUUGCAAGAAGGCAACUAGAGACUCAGCCUGAGUUGCCACACCUAUUUACACGCCAUGGUAGUUGGGCACACACAUCUUCCCCUCCAAAGGGCUCUUUCCUUGAGUUGCUUAUACCUUUGUAUCUGAGAGCAGGAUUCUGCAUGAUGAAGGCAAUGAUCAUAACUUUGCUCCUUCUCAUUGUUUCUAAUUAACUUAUUUAAAGUUUGCAUCUUCGUGAAAGCUAACUGAAGAUACAGUUUGAAAGGAAAAAUGAGACACAGGUUUGGGGACCAAGGACCCAUCAACGGUGUGACUUUAGCAAGAGAUGCCCACUGUUGUUAUUGCCAUUAAUCAGAUGUAUGAAUUUUCUUUGGGGAUUGCAAUAGGGAACAUUGUAGGGAAAAUAUCUUCAAGGAAAGAUAGGACCAUAAGUGAUGGUGGUGAAUAAGGAACAAGUGGAAUUGACCCCUUCAGGGAAGGAAGCAAGGAGUCCCUUCCCAACGAAUGUAGGUCAUUUCUGUGUUGUUUCUCCUCUAAUCUUUAAGAUCAAUUCUCCCCGUACUGCUAACUCUAGGAUUUGAUAAGAGCCACAUCUUAGUGUUUAUCUUAGCUUGCAUAAGGGCAUGUGUAUGUACAGUGAUAUGUGUAUUCCUGUGGUUUUUCUAAUAGCAGAAACUGAAUUCACACAGAAUUAGCAUGUUCUUGGGUGAUAUGGAUCAUGUGACAGAACUACAGACAUAACUCCAAUGGGAGAAAUCUUUUUAAAAAAUCAUGAAAAAAUUGAACACUAGUGCUUUAGUAUGCAUCUCCCAAUAAGGUCUGCCUUAGUACAGAACUAAGCACUUGUUUGUAUGUGUACAUCAGUUGUGGGAGAUAAUGAACAGACAGGUUGAUUGUCCUGUUCUCAUUCUGAAUUAUCUCCUAUGGCAAUGAAGAGCCCUUUGGCCUAGUCAGAGGAAUUAAUAAACCCAGAUAGGAAUGUAUUUCCAUCCUCCUAGCCUACAGAUAUAAGACGUUAAAAUGUGAGUUGACUCAAUUUAAGCCCAGUAGUGUCAGUUCUCCUUAUCUCAGCCCAAAUAGGAAUGGAAUUAAGAAAUAUCCCAGAUGUGAUGCUUAUCCAAGUAUGUGGGGGUGGGAGGAAUUGAUACUGAGGAGAUGGGACUGGAGUAAGGAAUGUAUUUUGAGAGUGCCCCUGUUUAUUUCUACUGUGCUUUAUAGUGAAUGUUGUAACAUUUAAAAAAUGCUUUUGCCAUAGCUCUUUGGGACUUGGUGUUAAAGGAGCCAGUGGUCUCUCUUGGGUAGUUUACUAGAAUGCGUUAUUGGGACCCACAGCUCUGUGGGACUACAUCACUUGCAAAUGACACAACUUCAAAAGUAACACAACGAAAAACCACUUCACUGAGGAGGUUUCUUCAUGUUGCCACUCCUAUUUAAAUACAAACUCUGGCAGAGAGCAUGUUUUUUGUUCUAUACAAAACCUAGCACACUGUGGAUAUUCAUAUUUUAAUUUGUUAGGUGACUUAUGUGUUCUUGGUAACUAAACUCAAAUAUGUCUUUUCCUGUAUCAGUGUUGCUGAUGGCUUUAAUGAAUAUCAAAAUUUUCCUGUUGCUUCUGUGAGCCACUACAGGUGUCAGCUUGGGAGUGGCCAUGACCUAAUUGUAUUUCACCUCCUUUUCCUUCUCUGCUCUUGCCCCAACCCAACCUGUUCUUGCUGCGGCUUUUGGCUUCUUAGAGGUGAAGGGAUUGAGAAAAGUCUUCUAAAGUGCCCAGCCAUCUCUCCAUACAUGUACAAUCCAGCUGGGAAGUUAAAAGGGCAAGGGCCACACCAGUUCUGUCUCCUUUUUCUGCCAAUUGCUGCCCAUUUGCUGUGCUGAACUUUAUGUAGAAGUUAUGCAUCAGCUCUAUUUGCUGAUGCUUUUUGCAUGCCUUCUGCUCCCAAGUCCCUGGAUGCUUCUGCACAUACUCUGAACACUUUGUGCCUGUUUUCUAUGGUUGUAGAGAGUGAAUGAACAAGUAAGCAGUUUUCCUUAUGGUAUUGGUCACAGUUAUCCUAGUGUCUAUCUACAUUGUAUUAUUCUAAUAGUCUUCUAUAAUUAAAAGUAUAAUUUUUAAAAUCAAAAAAA